rnacentral:rRNA from 1 species
AGGACCGCCGGUCUUAAGCCGGAGGAAGGUGGGGAGUGACGUCAAGUCAGCAUGGCCUUUAUGUCCAGGGCUACACACACGCUACAAUGGUCAGCACAAUAGGUAGCCAAGCCGCGAGGUGGAGCCAAUCCUCAAAGCUGGCCUCAGUUCAGGAUUCGGCAGGCUGCAACCCGCCUGCGUGAAGCCGGAGUUGCUAGUAACCGCAGGUCAGCUAUACUGCGGUGAAUACGUUCCCGGGGCCUU